rnacentral:rRNA from 1 species
CGCGUAGGUGGUAGUGCAAGUCUGGGGUGGAAUCUUAGGGCUUAACCCUAAAACUGCCUUGGAAACUGCAUUACUUGAGUCAGUGAGGGGAGGGUAGAAUUCCUGGUGUAGCGGUGAAAUGCGUAGAUAUCAGGAGGAAGGCCUGUGGCGAAGGCGGCCCUCUGGCGCUGAACUGACACUGAGGCGCGAAAGCGUGGGUAGCAAACAGGAUUAGAUACCCUGGUAGUCCACGCCCUAAACGGUGGGUACUAGGUGUAGGGCUCGUAAGGGUUCUGUGCCGAAGGGAACCAUUAAGUACCCCGCCUGGGGAGUACGGCCGCAAGGUUGAA